UCCGGUGAUGAUGGCGCAGUGGCCACACCUGUACCCAUCCCGAACACAGAAGUUAAGCACUGUAGCGGCGAAAAUAGCGCAAGCAAAUCUAGCACGUUGCCGGGU
rfam:Solobacterium moorei F0204 genomic scaffold Scfld158, whole genome shotgun sequence.